ensembl:lncRNA
UGCAAUCUGAUUUUAGUGUGAAUUUCAUAGACUUCCAGUGGACGCACUGUCUUCACGAGGGAAACACUGCAGGAACCAGCCUAAAACACGCUCAGGAGUAUGAGCUGGCUGGCUGAAAUCCCCUGUUGGCUCAGUUUGUGACAGCACAGGGAUCAACCUUCCUACUCAUAGGCUUCCAUGGCCAUGCAAAAAUCUUUUUUGAAGCUCCUCUUUGAGUUCCCUGUGGCAAGAAACAGCUGUUUCUGUUCUAAACUCGGCUCCUCAUGCUCUCAGGCCAAUCAUGUCAAUCUGGUGGAGUAAAGGUCUAAAGAAGCGAGAUUCACAUUUCGAAAACAGGCAUCGCCUUGCCUGGUGAGUUGAAAUUUGGCAUCCUGUGGAGAUCACAGACUCGAGCAAUUGGCAUAGAUGACCACUGGGUGGCACUGAAUGACAAGGCUGAAGAGCCAUUCUCCCACGCACAAAACGAUCUGGUUAUCAGACGUUUUAAAUGCGGUGUUCACCAUGAAGAAACAAAGAAAGGAAGUCAGACCAAUGUAACUGUGUGGACACCCGCUUUGUUAAAAGGAUGGGAAAACCUUCUCCCUGGAGAUCUUAGACAAAAAAAAAUUGAUGGUUGA